rnacentral:misc_RNA from 1 species
AACGCAUAUUGCACUCUCUGGUAUUCCGGAGAGUACACCUGUUCGAGCGCCAUAUCAAACCUCAAGUUCAACUUGGUGUUGGAGGAAAUCGUCUUCGAUUCUUUCGAAACUGAUAGGCGUCACCCAGUAGUUUCGAGUGUAGCGAACUCACGUACGCACUUGGAAUGAUUAGGGGAUGUCUCGAUUAGGGGGAAACUCACUCUUCGGAGCGAAUCCUUCUACUUUUCAAGUUUGGCCUCGAAUCAGGUGGGGAUACCCGCUGAACUUAA